rnacentral:rRNA from 1 species
UACAGGGGGGCAAGCGUUGUUCGGAAUUACUGGCGUAAAGGGUUCGUAGGUGGCCACUUAAGUCAGACGUGAAAUCCCUCAGCUUAACUGGGGAACUGCGUCUGAUACUGGGUGGCUUGAGUGCAGGAGAGGGAUGCGGAAUUCCAGGUGUAGCGGUGAAAUGCGUAGAUAUCUGGAGGAACACCGGUGGCGAAGGCGGCAUCCUGGACCAAUUCUGACGCUGAGUGAGCGAAAGCCAGGGGAGCAAACGGGG